rnacentral:rRNA from 1 species
GACGAACGCUGGCGGCGUGCCUAAAACAUGCAAGUCGAACGAGACCUUCGGGUCUAGUGGCGAACGGCGGAGUAAUACAUAAGCAACGUGCCCCAAAGACUGGGAUAUACAGAGGAAACUCUGGGCAAUACCGGAUAUGACGGAGAGAUGGCAUCUUCUUUCCAUCAAAUGGUUUUUCGCUUUGGGAGCGGCUUAUGGCCUAUCAGGUAGUUGGUGGGGUAAUGGCCCACCAAGCCUAUGACGGGUAGCAGGUGUGAGAGCACGACCUGCAACAUCGGGACUGAGACACUGCCCGGACUCCUACGGGAGGCUGCAGCGACGAAUCUUCCGCAAUGGGCGCAAGCCUGACGGAGCGACGCCGCGUGUGGGAUGAAGCGCCUUCGGUGUGUAAACCACUGUCAGGGGGCAGAACCAAUGAUCG